AACUUGGUUAAUCAACGGUGAUUGCUGGAGAGCAUAUAUUGUGCAUAUGUGAAUCCAAGGGUUCGAAUCCCUACCAACCUG
rnacentral:tRNA from 1 species